GUAGGGAAUAUUGCACAAUGGGGGCAACCCUGAUCCAGCGACGCCGCGUGAGUGAUGAAGGCCUUCGGGUCGUAAAGCUCUGUUGCAGGGGAAGAACACAAUGACGGUACCCUGCUAGAAAGGAUCGGCUAACUUCGUGCCAGCAGCCGCGGUAAGACGAGGGAUCCUAGCGUUGUUCGGAAUUAUUGGGCGUAAAGCGGGUGCAGGUGGCUUGGUAAGUCAGAUGUGAAAGCCUGGGGCUUAACCCCAGAAGUGCAUUUGAUACUGCUGAGCUUGAGUGCUGGAGAGGCUAUUAGAAUUCCUGGUGUAGUGGUGAAAUACGUAGAUAUCAGGAGGAAUACCGGAGGCGAAGGCGGAUAGCUGGCCAGACACUGACACUCAGACCCGAAAGCGUGGGGAACAAACAGGAUUAGAUACCCUGGUAGUCC
rnacentral:rRNA from 1 species